rnacentral:lncRNA from 1 species
UUGGCUGCUGUUGGCACUUGCCUCUGCAGAAGAUGGAACCUGCUGUCAUGGUCCUGCGCCCUGGCUUUGCCCAUGCCGCGCGCGGUCUGGCGGGCUGCGCGUUGGCAUUGGCAAACCAGGCGCUGCCUUGGUUUUCCUGCGCCUGACCCUUUGGUCUGUGAUCGGAUCCUUUGGCUCUGUCGGUCUGGCCGCUGGGCGUAUGGCCGCUGGCCGC